AUGUCUUGUAGGACUUCUCAGUUUGGAGAUGCGAAGUCUGAACGAAAUUCGACGACUCGUUUUCAUGGAUCUCCAUCGUUUGAACAGGCGUGGUCCGAAGAAAACCCGGUCGACGUCCUUUCAGUCGCCCCAAUGGCGAGGAAGAUCGUCUCUAACAGUUCGUCGUCCCCAUUUACUCUCUCUCUGAGCUCUCUCCCUCCGUGUAUGCAUAUUUUAUCUCACUACAUCUUCAGUCACAAAAGACCGUCACUGCAAAUUGAUUCUGGCCAAUCACAUUUCAGGUAUGCAAAAUCUCAAUUGCUGAUGGUGUUAAUGUCUACACGAGAUCGAUGGCGAUUUUAUGAGGUUGAAGUUGCAAGGAGCAUGAGACUCCUGUCCAAGUUGGGUAACGAGAAUGAAGAUGGGAGUCGAGCAUUGUUUAAUGGAAUUUUUUCCUGAAGUAGUUGCAGUGGAACUUAAAGCUGACAAGGAGACUGGCCUUGAGCAGAAUGAAGAAUACAUAGAAAAGGAAAGCAGAGUGCUUACCAAGAAAAGCAAGGAAAGGACGAAGAAGGCAGAUAGAGCUCUCAUCUCUUCCUCCCUUGUUGGAACCUACACUUGCUUUAUUUUGUUGGACCAUUUCAAUCUCUGACUUGGUUUUUAUAGACCAUUUCAAAGAGGCCAUAUUGAUAUAGUUUUGUGUGUAUUUAAGGGUGAUUAUGUCAUGGUCCUUGGUCCAUGUCAAGGAUUCGUAAAUCGUUACACUAGGUUUGGAUCUCGGAUCAUAAAAUAAAAGUAGCUUCUUCACUAUAUCAUCUUAUCUCUCCAUCAACCUUUUCGUUCUCCUCCAUGUAUCCCUAUAAAUCCAUGAUCCAAACACCGCCUCAAGCAAAAGACUAAUGGUACAAGCAGAAGAAAAUUUAUGAGAUGAUAUGGGUACUGUCAUUUCGAAGCAGAGAACUCGGUAAAGAUGAUUCCUUCACUUUUUUUUGUGUGUGUUUUCUUUCCUAAGAUUAGUAUCCUCCUUAAUAAUUACCAAUAUAUUUUUGUAAGCAUAAAUUAGGAAAGCUGGAGCUGGUAUUCCUUUUAGAGGUUGCUUAUACCAAAUUUCAAUAGUCUUAGAUUACUAUACUUCACCUCAUCUGGACAUUUGGUGAACAGGUGUAGUUUAACGUGAAAAAGACAUGGCUGCCAUGGAGAUCCAAUCCUCUCCAUUCUCUCUCAUGUAUGGUGGUCAAGGCUUCAGAUUUAAGGGUUCAAUCCCUCCAAGGUCUCAUAUUCGAAAGGUGCUAUCUAACUCUUGUGUUGCCGGUCCAUAGAAGACUUUGCCUCAAGUUUAAUAGGUCCCUUGCGAGUGGACGGUGGAAUUUGUCUCCUAGGAACAAGUCAAUGUGCGCAUAAGCACACUUGUCAAAAAAAACAUUUCUAUUGUAUAUGAUCCAGUGAACUCUUUGGUGCAAAAAAAGCUCAUACAAAACUUAUUUUAACCAAGCCAAACAGAGCCUUAAAUGCAUUAGCAGACAAUAUUUAUUCAACCGUAGUCUUCAUCUUCGGCAUUUGACUCUUAUUCCGGAGUGAGAAUGCUGACAUGAGUAACGAGAUGCUCU